rnacentral:rRNA from 1 species
CAGCAGCCGCGGUAAUACGUAGGUGGCAAGCGUUGUCCGGAGUUAUUGGGCGUAAAGGAUGCGUAGGCGGUUUCGUAAGUCUGAUGUGAAAUCUAUGGGCUCAACCCAUAGUCUGCAUCGGAAACUGCGAGGCUUGAGAGUGGGAGAGGUGAGUGGAAUUUCCGGUGUAGCGGUGAAAUGCGUAGAUAUCGGAAGGAACACCUGUGGCGAAAGCGGCUCACUGGACCAUUUCUGACGCUGAUGCACGAAAGCCAGGGGAGCAAACAGGAUUAGAUACCCCGGUAGUCCCUGUCUCUUAUAC